rnacentral:rRNA from 1 species
CCUACGGGAGGCAGCAGUGAGGAAUAUUGGUCAAUGGGCGGGAGCCUGAACCAGCCAAGUCGCGUGAAGGAAGAAGGUACUUAGUAUUGUAAACUUCUUUUGUCGGGGAACAAAGGCGGAGACGCGUCUCCGGAUGAGUGUACCCGAAGAAAAAGCAUCGGCUAACUCCGUGCCAGCAGCCGCGGUAAUACGGAGGAUGCGAGCGUUAUCCGGAUUUAUUGGGGUUAAAGGGUGCGCAGGCGGGAGAUCAAGUCAGAGGUAAAAUGUCGGGGCGAAACCCCGGCCGGCCGUUGAAACUGGUUUUCUGGAGUUGGAGAGAGGUAAGCGGAAUUCGUGGUGUAGCGGUGAAAUGCAUAGAUAUCAGGAAGAACUCCGGUGGCGAAGGCAGCAUACCGGCUCCAAACUGACGUUGAGGCACGAAAGCGUGGGGAUCGAACAGGAUUAGAUACCCUUGUAGUC